rnacentral:rRNA from 1 species
UACGUAGGGUGCGAGCGUUGUCCGGAAUUAUUGGGCGUAAAGGGCUCGUAGGCGGUUUGUCGCGUCGGGAGUGAAAACCUUGGGCUUAACUCAGGGCUUGCUUUCGAUACGGGCAGACUAGAGUGAUGCAGGGGAGAACGGAAUUCCUGGUGUAGCGGUGAAAUGCGCAGAUAUCAGGAGGAACACCGGUGGCGAAGGCGGCAUUCUGGGCCAAAACUGACGCUGAGGAGCGAAAGCCAGGGGAGCAAACGGGA